AAGUCUGACACCCCGAAACUAAGCGAGCUACUUUAAAACAGCCUAUAGAGCCAACUCAUCUCUGUUGCAAAAGAGUGAGAAGAUUUUAAAGUAGAGGUGACACACCUACCGAGCUUAGAGAUAGCUGGUUAUUCAAAAAAUGGAUUUAAGUCCAACUUUAAGUUUCUCUAGUAUUACUAAACAUUCUAUAAGCUUAAAAGUCAUUCAAAUAAGGUACAGCCUAUUUGAACAAGGAAACAACCUACCAUACAGGGUAAUAUUUAUUAACAUGACCAAGUAGGCUUAAAAGCAGCCAUCUUCUAAAAAGCGUCCAAGCUUCUCCUCUAGUUUUUAUUAAUUCCUCUAUUAACCUACAACCCUCAACCCCUACUGAAUGACCCCAUACCUGUAUGGAAAACAUUAUGCUAGAACUAGUAACAAGAAAACGAACUUCUCCAAAAUGCAAGCAUAAGCCAAAAUAAACUUAUUGCCGGCACUUACCGCUUCAACCCAUAGUAUUAUUCCCAAGAAAACUCUACUAACUCAAGCGCUAGCCUUACACCAGAGCAUUACCGGAAAGA
rnacentral:rRNA from 1 species